rnacentral:RNase_P_RNA from 1 species
AAAGUAGGCGCAGGCGGUUGCGGGCUAGCGAAAGUUAGCCUGAGGAAAGUCCGGGCUCCCGAAAGACCAAACUUGCUGGGUAACGCCCAGUGCGAGCGAUCGUGAGGAUAGUGCCACAGAAAUAUACCGCCCCCGCGAUUUUAGAUAGUAGAUUUUAGAUUGAAUCGAAAAUCGAGAGUUGAAAGCUGAAAAUUGUCGGGGGUAAGGGUGCAAAGGUGCGGUAAGAGCGCACCAGCAGCAUCGAGAGGUGCUGGCUAGGUAAACCCCGGUUGGGAGCAAGGUCGGAGGAACUAGGGUUGGUCUUUUACCAGUUCCGUUUUAGGGCACCGCUUGAGGCGUCUGGUAACGGGCGUCCCAGAUAGAUAACUGCCCUCAAAACUGCUUGCAGUUGAGAGAACAGAACCCGGCUUAUGUCCGACUUUUUCC